rnacentral:ribozyme from 13 species
UGAACAAAGAAAAGCGUGACCCCUUCCAAGAAGCAAUCUAUCACUCGAGUUGUGCAUGUGUUUCUUUCUUUGUCAGAUGCGAAACUGCUUCUUCUUCUUCUCUCCUUUCUUUCUCUUCUAUUUCGGGGGAUGAUUUUCUGCCUUUGCAGAGAAAUAGGAGUGAGAAGAAGGAUGUUUUGCAUAAGGAGUGGUUGUUGCCUUUGUUAUUGGAUGCUUCGAAGAUUUGUCCGAGUCAGGGAAAGAAAGGAGAAGAAGAAACAGUUUUAUCA